rnacentral:rRNA from 1 species
UACAGAGGGUGCGAGCGUUAAUCGGAAUUACUGGGCGUAAAGCGCGCGUAGGCGGCUUUGCAAGUCGGGUGUGAAAUCCCCAGGCUUAACCUGGGAACUGCAUUCGAGACUGCAUUGCUGAGAGUAUGGGAGAGGGAAGUGGAAUUUCCGGUGUAGCGGUGAAAUGCGUAGAUAUCGGAAGGAACAUCAGUGGCGAAAGCGACUUCCUGGACCAAUACUGACGCUCAUGAUGCGAAAGCGUGGGGAGCAAACACGG